CUGCAUGGUCUCCCAGACCUCAAUAGCCAUGACAGAAUUCCAGGGAGUUUCACAGAUCAAAGAACCACGAAGAUGCCAUGAUAUUUCAUUGAUCCUGAGGCCUGCUCCACAGGAGCUGGAAUGAGUGGUGCAGAGGAAGCCAGGGAGAUGAGGGGCUAAUCCGAGAUCAAGAUCCAAACUAGAGGGCCCCAUGGGCCAGUGUACCACCAAUAAUCAACAACACAAAACUAAGAGCAGUCACUGUGAUCAAAGAACAAUUUCUUCCUAGGAGACUCAACUCUAUAAAAGUACAAACUGUGUAGCUGCUGGAACUUCCCUGCAGUGUGCUACUGCCUUGGAAACAGUCCUGAGGGCAGACCAAGCAUCAGGGCCUGGACAGCUCCAAUCGUAGGGGACACCACCCUUGGCUACCUCUGGGCUCUGCUUGUUUAGAGAGCUUGAAGUCUCUGCAUGCUUCUUCCCACUGAAUAGCAG
rnacentral:lncRNA from 1 species